GAAAGUAUGCUGAUGAUUUUACACGGACGAUGAUAGAGGAGGAAAAGGAAAGAAAAAAGACAAACUAGGGUGUAGGAGAUCCCAUGCAACUCCUAAAUAAUGACAAGACAUUGCACCUUUGAUUCUUAUUUUCUGGUUUAGAAGGUGCCAUUGGAGAUGUGGAGGAACUGGAAUUACUAAUAUCCUCGUCUUCCUUUCCUAGGAAGGCUUCUUCUCUACCUUUUUCAAUGUUUUUGAGAUGCAACUCUUGGCUUUUAUCAGUGGACAUUCGUAUAAGUGGUCCGCUAAGCGCUCCGCUAGCCUUCCGAUCAAUGUGAAGGUUGUCCCAGACACGGCCGGAGGACCCCUGCCUCCGGAAAGAAACUGAUGAUCUCUGCAAUGUACUAGUCAUGGCGCGAUCUUUCUUCCACCAAUACUUUUUCUCCUUCCUGGUUGGUUUCCCCCUCCUUGAUUUGCUUAUCCUUUAAAGUAUCAAAACGUUUCUGUUUGGGAGCCAAAAUUUGUUUUGCUGGCUGGGUGACAGAAUUUGGUUAAUUCUCAACCACAUUCAUCACAUUUAGUCC
rnacentral:misc_RNA from 1 species